rnacentral:rRNA from 1 species
GCUGGUGGCGUGCCUAAUACAUGCAAGUCGAGCGAAUCUUUUGGGACUUGUCCCUUAAGAUUAGCGGCGGACGGGUGAGUAACACGUGGGUAACCUGCCUGUAAGACUGGGAUAACUUCGGGAAACCGGAGCUAAUACCGGAUAGUUUCUUUUCUCGCAUGAGGGAAGAUGGAAAGAUGGCAUCUCGCUAUCACUUACAGAUGGACCCGCGGCGCAUUAGCUAGUUGGUGAGGUAAUGGCUCACCAAGGCCACGAUGCGUAGCCGACCUGAGAGGGUGAUCGGCCACACUGGGACUGAGACACGGCCCAGACUCCUACGGGAGGCAGCAGUAGGGAAUCUUCCGCAAUGGACGAAAGUCUGACGGAGCAACGCCGCGUGAACGAAGAAGGCCUUCGGGUCGUAAAGUUCUGUUGUUAGGGAAGAACAAGUACGAGAGUAACUGCUCGUACCUUGACGGUACCUAACCAGAAAGCCACGGCUAACUACGUGCCAGCAGCCGCGGUAAUACGUAGGUGGCAAGCGUUGUCCGGAAUUAUUGGGCGUAAAGCGCGCGCAGGCGGUCCUUUAAGUCUGAUGUGAAAGCCCACGGCUCAACCGUGGAGGGUCAUUGGAAACUGGGGGGACUU